CCUACGGGAGGCAGCAGUGAGGAAUAUUGGUCAAUGGGCUUACGCCUGAACCAGCCAAGUCGCGUGAGGGAAGACUGCCCUAUGGGUUGUAAACCUCUUUUGUCAGGGAGCAAUUGGCGCUACGUGUAGCGUUAUCGAGAGUACCUGAAGAAAAAGCAUCGGCUAACUCCGUGCCAGCAGCCGCGGUAAUACGGAGGAUGCGAGCGUUAUCCGGAUUUAUUGGGUUUAAAGGGUGCGUAGGCGGACUGCCAAGUCAGCGGUAAAAUUGCGGGGCUCAACCCCGCUCCGCCGUUGAAACUGGCGGUCUUGAGUGGGCGAGAAGUAGGCGGAAUGCGUGGUGUAGCGGUGAAAUGCAGAGAUAUCACGCAGAACGCCGAUUGCGAAGGCAGCAUACCGGCGCCCAACUGACGCUGAGGCACGAAAGUGUGGGGAUCGAACAGGAUUAGAUACCCGGGUAGUC
rnacentral:rRNA from 1 species